GUGUUGAUGACGCUGAGGGUCCACCUGUUCCCAUACCGAACACAGAAGUUAAGCUCAGUGGUGCCGAAAAUACUUGGCUGGUGACGGCCCGGGAAAAUAGGGAGAUGCC
rnacentral:rRNA from 1 species